UGUGUGGUUCUCCAAGUAAACCGCAGAUUGAGACAACCAAUCCUAAUCAAGGUGAUGUGGGAGAAGAAAGUAGAGCUGGAAGGUCUCCAGCCUUGUCGCAGCCAGCUUUUACUGAUCCGUUGGGAUCUGAAAAAGGGUCACAUUCACCUUCUGUAGUACAUGAUCGUAAUGAGCAUCAGAAAACACAAGGAGAUGAUACUCUUAAAGAUGAGAUAUUACUUCAUAAGAGAAAAGCAGUUGCCUUUAAGAGAGAAGGGAAGAUGGCAGAAGCUAGAGAAGAAUUGAAACUGGCAAAACAAUUAGAAAAGCACCUUGAAGGUGCUCAACAAGACACCAUGGAUGGUGUGGGUGACUCCAUUACUCCUGCUGUGGAACAGAACAGUUUGGUCCAACAACCUGCUAGCUCCAGCAAUCACACUGACGACAUAAC
rnacentral:lncRNA from 1 species